UACGUAGGGGGCUAGCGUUGUCCGGAUUUAUUGGGCGUAAAGAGCGUGUAGGCGGCCAGGUAGGUCUGGUGUGAAAACUCGAGGCUUAACCUCGAGAUGUCAUCGGAAACCAUCUGGCUAGAGUCCGGAAGAGGAGAGUGGAAUUCCUGGUGUAGCGGUGAAAUGCGCAGAUAUCAGGAAGAACACCAAUGGCGAAAGCAGCUCUCGUGGGACGGUACUGACGCUGAGACGCGAAAGCGUGGGGAGCGAACAGG
rnacentral:rRNA from 1 species